GCCAGAGGAACACCAGGGAGGAGCACCAGGGAGCUGGGAGGGUGCUGUGGGUCGUGGGGGCCACACACAGCAGCCCCCAGGCCAGGGGACCCAGGACCGAGGCCGGGGCAGGGGAGUCGCCUGGU